UACAGGGGGUGCAAACGUUGCUCGGAAUCAUUGGGCGUAAAGCGCACGUAGGCGGUUCGUUAUGUCGGAUGUGAAAGCCCUUGGCUUAACCGAGGAAGUGCAUCCGAAACUGGCGAGCUAGAGUACGAAAGAGGAUCGCGGAAUUCCCGGUGUAGAGGUGAAAUGCGUAGAUAUCGUGAGGAAGACCAGUGGCGAAGGCGGGUUUCUGGAGAGUUCCUGACGCUGAGGCACGAAGGCCAGGGGAGCAAACGGG
rnacentral:rRNA from 1 species